rnacentral:rRNA from 1 species
UGGGGAAUAUUGCGCAAUGGGGGGAACCCUGACGCAGCCAUGCCGCGUGAAUGAAGAAGGCCUUAGGGUUGUAAAGUUCUUUCGGUAUUGAGGAAGGUUGAUGUGUUAAUAGCACAUCAAAUUGACGUUAAAUACAGAAGGAGCACCGGCUAACUCCGUGCCAGCAGCCGCGGUAAUACGGAGGGUGCGAGCGUUAAUCGGAAUAACUGGGCGUAAAGGGCACGCAGGCGGUUAUUUAAGUGAGGUGUGAAAGCCCCGGGCUUAACCUGGGAAUUGCAUUUCAGACUGGGUAACUAGAGUACUUUAGGGAGGGGUAGAAUUCCACGUGUAGCGGUGAAAUGCGUAGAGAUGUGGAGGAAUACCGAAGGCGAAGGCAGCCCCUUGGGAAUGUACUGACGCUCAUGUGCGAAAGCGUGGGGAGCAAACAGGAUUAGAUACCCUGGUAGUCCACGCUGUAAACGCUGUCGAUUUGGGGGUUGGGGUUUAACUCUGGCGCCCGUAGCUAACGUGAUAAAUCGACCGCCUGGGGAGUACGGCCGCAAGGUUA